rnacentral:sRNA from 1 species
GAAAUGCUUUCGAUAGGCACUCCACGGCUGUGAAGAUGGCGGCGGCUGCGUGGCUUCAGGUGUUGCCUGUCAUUCUUCUGCUUCUGGGAGCUCAGCCGUCACCACUGUCGUUUUUCAGUGCCGGACCGGCACCCGUAGCUGCUGCCGACCGGUCCAAAUGGCACAUUCCUAUACCGUCGGGGAAAAAUUAUUUUAGUUUUGGAAAGAUCCUCUUCAGAAAUACCACUAUCUUCCUGAAGUUUGAUGGAGAACCUUGUGACCUGUCUUUGAAUAUAACCUGGUAUCUGAAAAGCGCUGAUUGUUACAAUGAAAUCUAUAACUUCAAGGCAGAAGAAGUAGAGUUGUAUUUGGAAAAACUUAAGGAAAAAAGAGGCUUGUCUGGGAAAUAUCAAACAUCAUCAAAAUUGUUCCAGAACUGCAGUGAACUCUUUAAAACACAGAGCUUUUCUGGAGAUUUUAUGCAUCGACUGCCUCUUUUAGGAGAAAAACAGGAGGCUAAGGAGAAUGGAACAAACCUUACCUUUAUUGGAGACAAAACUGCAAUGCAUGAACCAUUGCAAACUUGGCAAGAUGCACCAUACAUAUUUAUUGUACAUAUUGGCAUUUCAUCCUCAAAGGAAUCAUCAAAAGAAAAUUCACUGAGUAAUCUUUUUACCAUGACUGUUGAAGUGAAGGGUCCCUAUGAAUACCUCACACUUGAAGACUAUCCCUUGAUGAUUUUUUUCAUGGUGAUGUGUAUUGUAUAUGUCCUGUUUGGUGUUCUGUGGCUGGCAUGGUCUGCCUGCUACUGGAGAGAUCUCCUGAGAAUUCAGUUUUGGAUUGGUGCUGUCAUCUUCCUGGGAAUGCUUGAGAAAGCUGUCUUCUAUGCAGAAUUUCAGAAUAUCCGAUACAAAGGAGAAUCUGUCCAAGGUGCUUUGAUCCUUGCAGAGCUGCUUUCAGCAGUGAAACGCUCACUGGCUCGAACCCUGGUCAUCAUAGUCAGUCUGGGAUAUGGCAUCGUCAAGCCACGCCUUGGAGUCACUCUUCAUAAGGUUGUAGUAGCAGGAGCCCUCUAUCUUUUGUUCUCUGGCAUGGAAGGGGUCCUCAGAGUUACUGGGGCCCAGACUGAUCUUGCUUCCUUGGCCUUUAUCCCCUUGGCUUUCCUAGACACUGCCUUGUGCUGGUGGAUAUUUAUUAGCCUGACUCAAACGAUGAAGCUAUUAAAACUUCGGAGGAACAUUGUAAAACUCUCUUUGUAUCGGCAUUUCACCAACACGCUUAUUUUGGCAGUGGCAGCAUCCAUUGUGUUUAUCAUCUGGACAACCAUGAAGUUCAGAAUAGUGACAUGUCAGUCGGUGAGUUAUAAGCACAUUUAUGAAUAGUGUACUGUCUUAUAAACAACUGAUGAUGUUGAUGACAGUGGUAAGGUUCUUCUGUUAUAUACCUUAU